UACCCUAAAGGGGCUCCCCUCCCUAUCUUUUUGCCCAUUUCACUUAAAUGCAGCCAAAUGGGCAAAAAGGUAGGGAGGGGGGCCCCUUUAGGGCAUGU
rnacentral:miRNA from 1 species